rnacentral:rRNA from 1 species
AGAGUUUGAUUCUGGCUCAGGAUGAACGCUGGCGGCGUGCUUAACACAUGCAAGUCGAACGGGGAUAAGGAGGGCUUGCCUUCCUUAUCCAAGUGGCGGACGGGUGAGUAACGCGUGGAUAACCUGGCCCAUACAGGGGGAUAGCAGCUGGAAACGGCUGGUAAUACCGCAUAAGCGCACAGGGGCGCAUGCCCUGGUGUGAAAAACUCCGGUGGUAUGGGAUGGGUCCGCGUCUGAUUAGGCAGUUGGCGGGGUAAAGGCCCACCAAACCGACGAUCAGUAGCCGGCCUGAGAGGGUGGGCGGCCACAUUGGGACUGAGACACGGCCCAAACUCCUACGGGAGGCAGCAGUGGGGAAUAUUGCACAAUGGGGGAAACCCUGAUGCAGCGACGCCGCGUGGGUGAAGGAGUAUUUCGGUAUGUAAAGCCCUAUCAGCAGGGAAGAUAAUGACGGUACCUGACUAAGAAGCCCCGGCUAACUACGUGCCAGCAGCCGCGGUAAUACGUAAGGGGCAAGCGUUAUCCGGAUUUACUGGGUGUAAA